GACGAACGCUGGCGGCGUGCCUAAUACAUGCAAGUAGAACGCUGAAGCUUGGUGCUUGCACCGAGCGGAUGAGUUGCGAACGGGUGAGUAACGCGUAGGUAACCCGCCUGGUAGCGGGGGAUAACUAUUGGAAACGAUAGCUAAUACCGCAUAAGAGUAGAUGUUGCAUGACAUUUGCUUAAAAGGUGCAAUUGCAUCACUACCAGAUGGACCUGCGUUGUAUUAGCUAGUUGGUGAGGUAACGGCUCACCAAGGCAACGAUACAUAGCCGACCUGAGAGGGUGAUCGGCCACACUGGGACUGAGACACGGCCCAGACUCCUACGGGAGGCAGCAGUAGGGAAUCUUCGGCAAUGGACGGAAGUCUGACCGAGCAACGCCGCGUGAGUGAAGAAGGUUUUCGGAUCGUAAAGCUCUGUUGUAAGAGAAGAACGAGUGUGAGAGUGGAAAGUUCACACUGUGACGGUAUCUUACCAGAAAGGGACGGCUAACUACGUG
rnacentral:rRNA from 1 species